ACUAGUAGUGUGUUUUUAUAUCCAACUUUAAUCAUUCAUCUUAUUUUUAUAAAAAUUUAUGAUUAGUAUUUUUAUUGUUAUUAGAUAAUAAAAUAUGAAUAGUAUUUUAUGUUUGACUUAUGUUUUUUUUAUUUUUUUAAAAAAAUAAAUAAGAUGGACGAUUAAAAUUGGAAAAAAAAAACUUAUGGCUUCACUUCUU
rnacentral:pre_miRNA from 1 species